rnacentral:rRNA from 1 species
CGUGUAGGCGGUCGGGUAAGUCAGAUGUGAAAGCCUUUCGCUCAACGGAAGAAGUGCAUUUGAAACUGCUCGGCUGGAGUACGGGAGAGGAGAGUGGAAUUCCCGGUGUAGAGGUGAAAUUCGUAGAUAUCGGGAGGAACACCAGUGGCGAAGGCGGCUCUCUGGUCCGAUACUGACGCUGAGACGCGAAAGCGUGGGGAGCAAACAGGAUUAGAUACCCUGGUAGUCCACGCCGUAAACGAUGGGCACUAGGUGUAGGGGGUAUUGACCCCUUCUGUGCCGAAGUUAACGCAUUAAGUGCCCCGCCUGGGGAGUACGGCCGCAAGGCUAAA